UUUGUCUCUGAGGGUGCGUGUAGGUCUCAGUUACCGAGUAAGUGUGGGUGCGUGUGUGUGUGUGUGUGUGUGUGUGUGUGUGUGUGUGUGCUUUCCUCUGGCUUUCUGCGUCAGAUGUCAGCUUUUUGGUCACACCUUUUUACCACGUCUCUGGUCACUGUGAUCCACAAUGUGGGGAAACACAGAACGCAUAGAAACUUAGGCGCAGUGCGACACUGACUGCCCUUCACACUGCUCUCUUCAUGCUGAUCUCCACCGUAGACACGGACACAGCAAAUUUUAAAUUUUUAAAGUUAAUCUCACCAUUUUUUUUUUUUUAGCUGAUCUUCAUGAGAAAGCGGAGCCGGCAGCGUUCGCUAUUAGUGGAUGAAUAGUCCAGGUGUGUCCACAAGGAGCUGCUCACUGCCUCUUCAUAACUACAUCACUCUGAAUAUAAGACUGUCAUUUUGCGGGCAAAUCUCCAUGUGAAUAAAUGCCUAUAAUACCAGUUUUUUGGGGUGAGCACCAGAUGUGAAGAACGCCUGAAAGGAAGAGACGUGUCACGGUGGGAAAUCCUGUAAAAAAGGAGCCAGGACGGCUGAACCCAAGUGCAGCGUUGUUCGUCUGAAGUUGAGGGAAGAGGCAAGUUCUCAAAAGCAGGGACAGGCGAAGGGUCGGUCGAUCGGCGAACAGGACAGGAACGAGGCUCCAUGGACGUGGUCGGAAAACGAAGCAAGGAGUCAAAAAACCGGAGACUGUGAACAGAGAAUAAAGUAAGUGUGUGUGCGAAGUAAUGUGAGGAAGGGCGGUUGUCCCAAACGAGAUUCCGCAACGGUACGGGAGCUGAAGAGGGUCUUUAUAGGGUGAGCGAUUACUCAGGAGCUAGUGCAGAGUCAGGUGUUGUCGCUUGUGUUGUGGGCGUGGACGUGACAACUAGCUCAUUUCAGUUUUAUAUUUAUUUUUAAUAUCUGAGGACAAAAAGCUUAUUUUGGCUUUUAAAAUAGAACAUUAGCAUGAAAUAGAUCUCAGUAAAAAUUGGGUAAACAUUUGUAUGUAUCUUUUGAAAUCAAGAAAAUGGUGUCAACUUUCCUGGGGCUUGAAUACUUCUGCAAGGC
rnacentral:lncRNA from 1 species